AGAGUUUGAUCAUGGCUCAGCCUGAACGCUGGCGGCGUGGCUAAGACAUGCAAGUCGCACGGGUGUAGCAAUACAUCAGUGGCGGACGGGUGAGUAAUGAAUCGCUAACGUACCCCAGAGCUCGGGAUAGCUGUCCGAAAGGACAGGUAAUACCGGGAGACAUCGCCUGAAGGCAUCUUCGGGCGCUCAAAGGAGCAAUCCGCUUUGGGAGCGGGCGAUUUCGUAUCAGCUAGUUGGCGGGGUAAUGGCCCACCAAGGCGACGACGCGUAGCCGGACUGAGAGGUUGGCCGGCCACAUUGGGACUGAGACACUGCCCAGACUCCUACGGGGGGCUGCAGUAACGAAUCUUCCGCAAUGCACGAAAGUGUGACGGAGCGACGCCGCGUGGAGGACGAAGCCCUUCGGGGUGUAAACUCCUGUCAGGGGUUACCAAGUUCUGAGAGCCCCAGAGAAGU
rnacentral:rRNA from 1 species